rnacentral:rRNA from 1 species
AACGAACGCUGGCGGCGCGUUUUAAGCAUGCAAGUCGAAGGCUUUACUUGUAGCAAUAUAAGUGAAGACUGGCGAACGGGUGAGUAACACGUGAGAAUCUGGCUUGAGGACUGGGAUAGUAUACAGAAAUGUAUAGUAAUACCGGAUGUGCCGAGAGGUGAAAAAGCGCAACUGCGCUGCCUUGAGAUGAUCUUGCGUUCCAUUAGCUAGUUGGCAGGGUAAAAGCCUACCAAGGCGACGAUGGAUAGCCGGCCUGAGAGGGUGAACGGCCACAUUGGGACUGAGGCACGGCCCAGACUCCUACGGGAGGCAGCAGCUAAGAAUCUUCCGCAAUGGGAGCAAUCCUGACGGAGCGACGCCGCGUGAAUGAUGAAGGCAGAAAUGUUGUAAAGUUCUUUUGUAUGGGAAGAAUAAGAAUAGUAGUGGAAAGAUUAUUCGAUGACGGUACCAUACGAAUAAGCCACGGCUAACUACGUG